CCAUAACUCAGUUGUACCAAAUUUGCAGUCAUGUGUGAAGAAAUUGUUUCUCUAGUCGAUGAUAAACGUACCUAAUUGCCUUAAAAUAGCAAGAACAUCAAGUACCCAAGACAAAAUAGAAACUUGGUUGCAAGGUGGUAGGGGCCGCCCCAUCGAUCACUCUUGGUGAAGAAAGACUAUUGACUAGUUAUAUACCAAAAUACAGAAAAAAAAUCUAGACUACACAUUAGUUUUUGCCAAGAUAGUUUGGGACAUAAGUGAGUAGUUCUGUUUCCUGUAUAUAAUGAGAUGGAGUUGAGGAUAUUGGAAGGAGUAAACCAGGUUGACUUUUUGACUAACCUAUUCGCGAGUGGGUUAUUAUGUUCAGGUGGGCACAUUUUUUUGAGAAAAUUAGACAUUCAUGUUUGAGAAAAUUAUGAUCAAGAAUGUCUUCCAGCCUGUUAUAACAUGAACAACAGAUCAAGAGAAAACAAUAUACUGAGCAUGUAUUAUGUGUACCUAUGUGCAUAUAUACAUCUAUGAUUAAAUGCAUAGUGUAUGCAAAGCUACUUAACUAAUGCAUUUUCUUCUUUCUUCCUCUUCUUCUUCUUUUUCUUUUUUUUAAUUAUUUAUUUUUUAUAAUCUUUUCCUGUCAUCAAAAUGAACUAGUGCAUAUUUAGUAUGUUAAUUUUGUAGGCAACUUUUUUACAAAUGAAAGAGGCAGAGAAUACAAGACAACGUGAGGAGAUGCAGCGGCAGCUUUUUGGACUUCAGAGCAUGUUGGCGCAAGUUUUGGAAAAUCGCAAUCUACCAAAUUCUCGACAAUAGAUAGUCAUGGUAAUUGAUGGAUGAACUCGUGCACAAAG